GACUUUCUUGUUCAACUUUUAAUGCCUGCAUUGUUGAGACAGGAUACCAAUUGCAGGGAUGCGGUAUCACUAUGUGACUGUUUACUCAUAACGCUAAGAUAUCUUGCCACAGGAAAUACCUAUACAUCACUACAAUAUGAAUUCCGAACAGUGAUUUUGACAAUUGGAGAAAUUGUGAAGCUACCUUGUGAUGCUAUCUGGAAUCUAAAAAAAAUAAUUUAUGCCUAUUCCAAAUAAAGAGAAAUUGAAUGAUGUUGUUCAGCAGUUCUGGAGCAAAACCAACUUUUCAAACUGCCUGGAAGCAAUUGAUGGAAAACACAUUAGACUAAUAAAACCCUGUCACAGU